rnacentral:rRNA from 1 species
UACGUAGGGGGCGAGCGUUGUCCGGAUUCAUUGGGCGUAAAGAGCUCGUAGGCGGCUUGGCAAGCCGGGUGUGAAAACUCCAGGCUCAACCUGGAGACGCCACCCGGGACUGCUAUGGCUAGAGUCCGGUAGGGGGGUCAGCGGAAUUCCUGUGUGAGCGGUGGAAAUGACGCAGAUAUCAGGAGGAACACCGGUGGCGAAGGCGGAUCUCUGGGCCGAUACUGACGCUGAGGAGCGAAAGCGUGGGGAGCGAACAGG